UUGGUUUUGCUCAGAGGAAAAAAAAAAAGGUAGCUUUGGUUUUGCUGGAUGGAACUCUGUGUCAGUGAAAUGUACUGUUGCACAUGGUGUGCUGCUGCUCCUUGACCUCUCUGCUGCUCAGCUUGCUGCUUUGAGCUUUCUGUGUACUCAUGAAGUGAGUUCAGUGCCUUCUGCCUUGCUUCCUCAAGGAAGGGAGCAACAGCCAUGGGGGAGAAGGGAGCCUUGCUGCUCUUGUCCGUAUGUGAUGAUCCAGAGCAAGACUUGAGGGAAUCCAGGGAAGACUGAAUUGUAAUAUCUUCCAUCUUCUCCUGACAUACCAGAAACCUGAUCAUCGGACUGUAAAGCUAAUGGAGAAAGUCACGCACCUGCUCCAUCUCGUAUGACUGAGCUGAGUUUGGAACUGAAGAGGACAUCCACGUGAUUCAAGAUGAAUUCCACAACGACUGACUGGAUUCGCACCUCCAUGAAAGCAGCUGUUCCACUGAAGCAGGCAGACUCGAUCUGCCUUGAUCUGAAGAAAAGGAAGAUUAAAUAAAAUGCAAACAGCCAGAAGACUCUGGAAGAUAUGCUCCCCUUGGGUAAGUCUUCGUCACGUGUUGAACUACUGUGCCACAUUGCUCGGGCAGACCAGACUUUAGGGACAGUUAAGAGAUAAACCUCAUCAAAGCAUUAUACGAAUAGUCAUACUGACUGCAGUGAUUUACAUCCAGGUUUUGGUUUCAGGUUGGAGUCCUACUGAAAGAGGCAAGAGGAACAAUGGGUCAAGAAGGAAAGAAGGCACAUGGCAGGUUCAGAUUGAGAGCCUUUCACAAAAUCUCCAGAGCAUGUUUUCCAAGACCACGGAGGCAAUCCGACUGUUUAGCUCCCGAGGGCCAUGAUGGGGAGCUGCCUGGAGGAAGAGUCCCCGCAGGUCAGAAUGAAAGCUGCUGUCCCUUUGCAUUUCAGAGGCCUGGAAACUGAAAUGAUAAAGCAAUGCUGAACGGCAGCGCUGCUGGCACUGCUGCACAUGGAAACUCCUGUGUGCAGAAAUUCCUUGGGUCCAAGCUGGUGAGCCGAGCACGCCUCUGCUAAGGGGCGAAGAGAGCCAGCAACCACAUGAAGACAAACCUCGAGCAUUCCCUUGGUUUUCAGAGAGAGGAAAACCAAAAUCACAAACAUCUAUGAAAUAAAAGCUGAGCUUAGAAGGCCAAGAGCUGGCUUGCUGCUCGGAUAUGCGCAUGGAGAUUGCUGUUUCAAAUUAGCAGGCCAGAUCUGCAGGGGCUGGCAUGGCCACAGGGAGCUGCAAGAACAUGGCUGCUUUAGCUGGAGCUCAGUGUCCCUGCCAUUGUCGUUAAGCUGUAAACCCAACAACUUAUCAGCAACGUGGGGAGUCACCCUGUCUGCACUACAACCACAGCAAUGGCAGGGGCUUGGUGACAACAGCCCCAGCCUCCCCCGAGUCCAGGCCAGACAAUUUGUAACGCAGAAGAUAAAACGCGACUUAGGCACAGUUCAAACGCCAAGCUUGCC